UCCUGCUCCCCAGUACCCUGUCUCCUCCAGCAAGGAAGUAGCUAUCUGGGGCCGGGAAAUGAGAUAGCAGGACUGUCCCUUUGAGAUCAACUCAGCGCUCUGUGGCUCCCUGGACGAUGGUCCCGUGAGUCCAGCCCAUCCUCCGGCUCGGGAGCUGUCCUGCUCACAGCCAAGCUCCAGGAAGGAACCAGAGAUGAAGGGAGUCCUAUGGACACUGUGGAGCCUGAAGCCAGCAGCCACGAGACCAGUCCUGACAAGGACCAAGGAUUCCCACGUUCCUCUCUGCAGCCUCAAAAACAGCCCUUCCUCCACCACCCAAGGGAAGAAGUGGACAGAAAUGAGAAGGGGCGGACAGACUACAGUUUGUGCCAAAUGCUCUGCAGCAAGCUGGCCCCGCCAGGAAUAGGUCUCCAGUCCCAGCUGCCCUCAGAGUCUGUGCUUCCUGUUUUCACGGCCAGCUUCUGCACAGACAUUACCAACCAACAUUUAAAAACGGCUCCUCAGAUGGUCUAAAACACGCAAAGCUUGUUCUUUUAAUGACAAUGAGAAUUGAAUGAGUCCUGAACUCCACGCUGGGCAACAGGCCAAAUGCUUUACCUCCAGUAUCUCAUUCAGUCGCCAAGCCAGGGGAGGCGGUUUCUAUUAUUAGCCUAGUGUUACAGGUGACCAGACCCAAGCCCCAGGGUUAGUCACUUUCCCAAAGUCACCAGCUUCUGGAGUGAUUCAGCACCACCACUGUGGUGUUUCACUCAGUUCCUUGGCCUGAAACAUCCUUGCACAUUCUUCUUCUCUCUCUCUGCCUGGUGGUCUGGCCCCGGCAAAGGGCUCGACACCAAAACACAGUGUUCUCUCGCUGCUCUUGGCCACCAUCACCCUCACCGCCCAAGACUCGUUGUCCUGAGAAAGCCUGGUUGGGAUUCUUGGGGAGCCAAGUGUCCAGCACCCGGCCGGGCACUUCCCAGGCACCUAUGCAUGUCUAAUCGUGUAGUCUGUGUCAGAAGAGCAGGCUGUGCUCGUCAGAAGCCUGGUAGGACUCUGGCCAAGGGGUUGUUUGUGAUUUCAGGGCCGGGCAAGGAAAGUGCUGGGUGAGGGUUUUGGUUCCAAGUGGCCUCCUGCCGAGCAGUGAAUCAAGUGUCAGCACUCGCCCCGCCCCGGGCUUCCCUGUUUGUUUUCCCCAAACUUGUUUAUUUUGCCUCUACAGAUGAAAGCCAGAGAGUAUACAUGGCUACUAGUGGGCGCUGGGGGCAGAUUGUCCUGGUCCUUCCAGAGGCAGAGCAAGCAGGGCUAGUCCCUUUCUGCAGGGCUUUGAGCCGAAAGCUAAAAAUUCAUCACCUCUCAGGCCCGGGUGGUGAUGCCAGUCAGAGCACCAGCAGCCCUGAGCCAGGCAUCUGCCGUGAGGU